AAAAUCCCAUAUGUUUUCCUUUCUUGGAGACCUCCUGGCAAGUUUCUAGGUGGAGUGUUUGUUGUUAUGUCUGCCCCCUCCCCCCCGACCAAGUUUACUUGACCUCCUUGAAGGGAUUCACUUCAUUUUACUCACAGUCUUAUUCCUCUUUAGUAGCAGAAUUUUUACCCGGGCACGUGGCUGUCCAGCAUGAAGACUCCAUUUCCCAGGCUUCCUUGCAGCUAAUGUGGCCAUGUGAUCAAGUUGUGACCAAUGGGAUAGGACUAGAGGUGAGGGAGGAGGUUUGUCUGCCUUCUCCCUUUUCUUUCUCCUUGGGCUGGAGUGCAGACCCUAUGGAUGAAAGCAACAUCUUCAUAUUAGUUUCCUGAGGGCUUCCAUGACAAAGUACCGCAGACUUAGUGGCUUGAACAACAGGAUUUAUUGUCUCACAGUUUUGGAGGCCAAAGACCCAACGUCAGGGUGUCGGCAGAGUUAGUCUCUUCUGAGGCUGUGAGGCAGAAGCUGUUCUAUGUCUCUCCCCUGGCUGCUGGUGGUUUGCUGGCAAUCUUUGUCAUUCCUUGGCUUGUGGAAGGAUCACCCCAAUCUUUGUUCUUCACUGAGUACUCCCUGUGUGCAUUUCCUGUGUCUAAAUUUCCCCUUUUUGAAUUUUUUUAAAGUUUAUUUAUUUAUUUUGAGAAAGAGCAUGAGCUGGAGAGGGGCAGAGAGGGAGGGAGAGAGAAUCCCAAGCAGGCUCCUCACUGUCAGUGCACAGCCUGACGCGGGACUUGAACCCAUGAAACCGCGAGAUCAUGACCUGAACCACAACCGAGUCAGAUGCUUAACCAACUGAGCCAUCCAGGUGCCCCUAAAUUUCCCCUUUUUGUAAAGACAGCUGCCGUGUUGGAUUCGGGGGGGUCCACCCUACUCCAGUAUUACGUCAUCUAAACUUAACUAAUUACAUCUGCAACAACUCUAUUUCCAAAUCAGUUUACAUUCUGAGGUACUGGGGGUUAGAACUUCAACAUACGGAUUUUUUUGGGGGAGGGUGGAGCACAAUUCAGCAUGGAACAGUCUCAUAGUGGGUGCUGUGAUGUGCUGCUCAGAUUACCUUUUCAGGAGCGAAGGGCUCAUUCCCACAGCUGCCCACCCUCAGCUAUCAGCCAAUGCGGAGAAUCGCCCUCAGCUGAAGAGAGUCUUCUGGACCAAGGUCAUACCCCCUCCCACGGGCAGCCAGUGUCCAACGGCUAGUCCUUGUGUGUGUGUGUAAAGGCUUGGCUCCCUCGUCUCAGUAUGAAAAACCUGAAACGAUAUCACAGCCUCAGGGGUCUCCAAGGGGUCGGCUGAAGCCUUGGCCGUGCUCGUAUCACAGCCCGACUCCUCCCUCUGCUCAAUCCAGCCGGUACCCCUUUUCACAGGUGUGGAUCCUGCACGCUGACCUCCAGCUUGGAGUCUGCUUCCUGCGGUGCCCAAAUGUCAGUAGACCCUACAAAUUCAAGCAGAAGAGUCCUGUGUCCCCAAGCCUAAGGAGCUGCCCUAUCAGCCCUGGAGUGUUAUGUGAGAACGCUGCUGCUCCUUCACUCAAGCUGUGACUACUGGUGGUCUCUGUCACUGCGUCACCAUCUGUAUCCUCAGCGGUUGUGGACGCCUCGGAGAGACAACUUGUGCUGGGCAGAUUCUAGGAAUCCUGAGCCGGGCACCUGCAUUGGAGGAAGAAGGGACGGGCAGAUCUGGUGAGGUUCCUGAUCCAUCUGAAUACCUAACUGCUGUUUGUGAGAUGUGAUGUCACAUGGAUACACCCUGGGGUAUAAGCCAAAUACCUGAGUUUGAGUCCUGGCUCCUCCUGCGUGCACUGGGAGACCUUGGGUAAGGCAUCCCGUCUCUCAGCACAACCAGUGAAAUACGGGAGGCGGGGGUGAAUAAAAAUAUCUAAUCCCAAGUAAAACAGCAUUAGGAGAUUUAAGAGAGACCACUCAUGUGUGAGUGCUUUGUAAACUGUAAAGCAUCACAUCAGGGGGAGGCAUUAGACACUUCCCGAGGGCAGAGGACCGUCUUAUAUUACCCUUUAUCCCCAGCCCUGACACGGUGACUACAUCGCCGUGGACACUCAAAUAACAUGUGCUGGUUGAAUGGAUGAACAGGUGGAUGUAGAGAGUCAUGGAGGGAAAGGCAGAUUGGAAACGUGCCUGUUAGAUUAAGGGUGUCAGAGGAUGAGGCUAGAGAGGGAGCAGGAGGAGUAGGUCCUUGAAAGGAGUUUGGGGCUUUUGUCUCAUCUGUCAGGAAGGCAGCUAAUGCAUCCGUCACCAGCUGGCCGCCUGGGCAGCCCGGCUCCCCUUGGGCCCAGCUGCCAGGCCCUGGGCCAUCUGAGGCCUGGGCGACUGCUCCAGAACAGGGGGGCCGACAGCUUCUGCCGUCACAGGCAGGCUGGUGACUUGUGUGGAAUGCCCUGUCUCUCGUGCCUGCUUUUGGAGCCUAAGUCCCUGGUGACAGUAAACAUAGCAGCGUCAGGGCCUGACACUGAGCUGCCCUGGGUCUUGGCAGGGCAGGGCCGAGGGGACCUGUAUCCCAUGGUUAGAAAUAUAAAUAAAAACAGGACAGGUAAAUAUAGGCAUUCGUGUAGGAAAUCUAGAUCCCAAGACUAUUUUUUCCUGACCUAGUUAUUUUUGUUUGUUUGUUUGUCUGGGACAGAAUUACUUGGGAAAUUUAAUUGCUUUACCUGGUUGUUAAAGACCUGAUAGAAUGGAUCUAAUAUUAUUAUUUAAAUAGAAUAAGAAUAGCUAUGAUUUUGUCAGUGCUUACUACAUGCCAACGUAGGUUUUGUACUUGAGUGCAUAGACGUAAUCUUAGUACUAGAAGGUAAGCAUUAACCCUGUAGGAUCAUAUCAGACAACUCUGUAAGGUAAAUAUUAGCAUAUACUCAUUUUACAGAUGAAGGACCUGAGCUCUAAUCUUUAAUUGCUUACUGGGGUCAUAGAGCUGGCAGAUGAAAGAGCUGGAACUCAAGUUAUCCAUCCAUCCAUUUGUUCAUUCCACGCAUAACUACUGAGCACCUAUCAUAUUCCCGGCACUGGGGAUUUAUGAGAGCAUCAUAUACAUAAAAGUCCCUGGUUUUCCAGACAAACACAACAAACAAAUAGAAUGUGUAACAGAUGACGUGCCAGUAAGUGCAAUGGUGAAGAAUGAAACAGGUAAAGGGGUAAGUAGCACCAGUGUUGGGAUGGAGGAGGAGAGGGUGGGCUGCAAUUUUAAACAGGAUGGCCAGGAAAGACCCCAUGUUGCUUUGACAUCUAAGCAAAGAGUUGAAUAUGCUGGGUUGCCGAGCUGCUGGAUUAGAGAAUAGAACUUUGAUGACUUUGAACUUUGUCCCAUGGGGCAAGUUGAAAAAUUGGAGUCCAUGGAAGAUUUCUAUGGAUUCACUUUUCCCUUAAGUUCUUUCUCUCUUUCCUGGGCUCUGCAUUUCUAGAGUAAGAAAUAAGAAGGUAAACUAGGGAGGGGGUAAAUUUAGUAAAAUCCAUCCAUCCAUCCGUCUGUCCGUCCGUCCAUCCAUCCAUCCAUUCAUCCAUCCAUUUAUACAUCUUUCCACCCAUCCCUCCAUCCGUCUGUCCAUCUGUCCGUACAUCCAUCCAUCCAUCCAUCCAUCCAUCCAUCCAUCCCUCCAUUUAUCCAUCCAUCCAUCCAUCCAUCCAUCCAUCCUUUCAGUGCUCAUAGAUUACAAGUCAGAUCUAUACUUCUAUCCAAAUGAAGAAUAAGAUCUGGAUCUAUACUGUUGGAUACAGUAGCCACUAAUCACGUGUGGCUAUUGGGUGCUUGAAAUGAGGCUCUGUCACGGGGGAAUGAAAAAUUUAAUUUUAUGCAAUUAACUAAAAUAUAAGUUAAAAAACCCUGGAGCAGUGUAAAAUAAUUUUUUUAUGAAAUACAACUUUAUUGUUUUGCUGGGGUAUAUUUCAGUUUGACCAUUGCAAGCGUAGCUCUGAAUUGAGGUUUACUUCAAGUGUAAAAUAUACAACGGGUUUCAAAGACUUUGUACCAAAAGAAAGAUAUAUAAAAUAUCUUAUCAGUGGGUUUUUGUACUGAUUACAUAUUGAGAUGAUAAUAUCUUGGGCAUCUGAGGUUAAAUAAAAUACAUUAUUAAGAUUAAUUUCUCU